CCAAUAGCGUAUAUUAAAGUUGCUGCAGUUAAAAAGCUCGUAGUUGAGUUUCGGGACCAUCAUGUCGGUCGUGCCUCGGUACGUACUGGCAUUGUUGGUUUCUCCCUUCUGACGAACCAUGAUGUCAUUAAUUUGGUGUCUUGGGGAAUCAGGACUGUUACUUUGAAAAAAUUAGAGUGUUUAAAGCAGGCUCACGCUUGAGUACAUUAGCAUGGAAUAAUGAAAUAGGACGUUUGAUUCUAUUUUGUUGGUUUCUAGGAUCGACGUAAUGAUUAAUAGGGAUAGUUGGGGGCAUUAGUAUUCAAUUGUCAGAGGUUAAAUUCUUGGAUUUACUGAAGACUAACUACUGCGAAAGCAUUUGCCAAGGAUGUUUUCAUUAAUCAAGAACGACAGUUAGGGGAUCGAAGACGAUCAGAUACCGUCGUAGUCUUAACCAUAAACUAUGCCGACUAGGGAUCGGAUGAUGUUAAUUUUUUAAUGACUCAUUCGGCGCCUUACG
rnacentral:rRNA from 1 species